UCCGCCCUCCAACAUCUUCCCAAAUGUCAUUGUUAAUAAAAAAAAAAUAAAAAAUAAAAUAAAAAAAUAAAAUUAUUAACAAUGACAUUUGGGAAGAUGUUGGAGGGCGGA